GUCCUUUCAUAGUUCGUGAGAGUGAGAUAAUUAGGUUUCUCCCUCAUGUGUGAGAUGUACCUCCCUUAAACCUUGUUACAACGUCGUCACAUGACCCGUCUGACA